rfam:Schistosoma mattheei strain Denwood, Zambia genome assembly, scaffold: SMTD_contig0008783
AUUCUGCUGACGAGCCCCUAAUAGAACGAAACACGCGUCCUGGAU